rnacentral:lncRNA from 13 species
UAUAUAUUAAUUAUAUAUAUUAUAUGCAUAUAUUGCAACUGUUUGAUAACUCCUUUAAACACAGACUGAAUAGAACAUGGCCUAAAAGGUAGCCCAAAAGCCAAAUAAAUAUUAACAAACUGUUAAUUUUACUUUAAAAAUAUAGUCACUAUAAUUGGUUUAUAAAACUCAUCUGAAAAAUAAAAAUUCCUCUAUAAGAUUAAGUGACUUGUUUAUAGCUUCUCAAGAACAGUCAGUUUAGUAUCACUACGUUUGGAAUAAAGAUGGGCUUUGAUAUCAGUAAGAUUAACCUGAAUCCCAAUUCACAACUGCACAGAGAAAGAAGAAAUUUUGUCCAUUUUUUGUACCUUUGCUGAUGGAGCUCGACAUGAACAAAUAUGACUUAAGUGAGAUUUGUUCAAGUUUUGUAGAGAGGGCUUCAAAAGCAGUAUCUACAGUGUGUUUCUCUGAAUAUGCCCGGUUGUUAGUUUCUGCAGUGGAAUAGUGCCACUCAUCUACAACCACCAUAUUGUUUGAACAUCGUGAAGAGAUGCUUGCUAAGUGUCCUAAGUGUUUCCUCAAACUAUUUUUGUUGUUGUUGUUGAGUCAGAAUCUUGCUCUGUCACUCAGGCUGGGGUGCAGUGGCACAGUCUUGGUUUACUGCAACCUCUGCCUCCCAGACUCAAGCAAUUCUCCUUUAGAUGGAGUCUCACUCUGUCACCUUGGCUGGAGUGUAGUGGUGUGAUCUCAGCUCACUGCAAUCUCUGCUUCUCGGGUUCAAGUGAUUCUCCUGCCUCAGCCUCCCAAGUAACUGGGACUACAGGCACACGCCACCACGUCCAGCUAAUUUGUUUGUAUUUUUAGUAGAGAUGAGAUUUCACUGUGUUAGCCAGGAUGGUCUCAAUCUCCUGACCUCAUGAUCCACCUGCCUCAGCCUCCGAAAGUGCUGGGAUUACAGGCAUGAGCCACUGUGACCAGUCGGGGCUUUGGAAUUUCAAAAGUGACGUAUCAGAGCUAAGGAGCCAUCAAUUUACGAAUUGGAAAUGGAUGAUGUAGGAUUUGUUAGAGAACUCUGGCCAUGGUCUAGCUCCUGAACAGUGUUAUAGCACGGAGGUCAUUAGUACAUUUUGGUGAUUGUUUUUCAGCUUCAUUUGGGUAGAAAUCAACCAUUCAAGGGCCCUCAGGCUCUAAGGAAUGAAAAGUAAAGGUCAUUACUCUGUAAAGCUAGAGCUUCCAUUGACUCAA